CGAGAGCAGCCGAAUCAGAGGGUCGAACGUUUUCGCGCCUUUAAACGAACGUGCAACUUGGUAUAUAUAUCCAGAAACUGAAAUAUAGUGAGCUGUUUAUAGUGAAAACUCGGUACAACAGAAUCUAUUAAAAGCUUGAAGAUUUUCAAGAAAGUUGUAUAUUUGGAAUUAAAACGAGAAAAGCGUACGGUUGAGAUGUACCGUCUCUCCUGCAUUUUACUGCGUAAAAAUCAGUUUUCACUUUCAAAAUGAUGAAGUUAUAUGGAAAACAGAGAAUCAAGAAUCAAAGCUGCACGAAUUCACGAUCUCGAUCGAGCUACAACCUCCAUUUUUCCGAAAGCUAGAAGUUCUUGGCUCCGCCGUUUCAACGAAACGGUAUCAUGGGCAGCACAUUCAUUUUGUGGAUAAAUAUUUUUGAUUAUUAUUCAUUUUCCCUUACACGCUGAGCAUUGCUCGAUACUAAAUAAAACGUGUAAUUCAAUUACAAAAGUUAAAUGAUCAAAUUAUUAGAGAAAUAAACUGUAAGUUCAGCAUCUUUUAAAAAUAUAAUGUACAAGGUUAUGUUAUUUAAACUUCAGAAAUAAAUUUUAAAGUCUGAAUAUGCACUUAUUUAUCAUUACAUAAGAUUAUUAGAAUAAGCAUAAUAAUUCUAAUUGAGAAAAUACUGUACCACAUACAUUUGACAUGAUUUAACGUAUAAAAUCUAAAUUUAUAAUCAAUGAUAGCAACAGAAACUUAUAUUAGAUAGUUCAGUAAGUAAAAU